UAGCUUAGUCAGUAAAGAAUCUGCCUGCAAUGCAGGAGACCCGGGUUUGAUUCCUGG
rnacentral:tRNA from 1 species